rnacentral:lncRNA from 1 species
GAAGGUGAACAAAAUGCUGGAGGAAAUGUAUGCUCUGUUGCCUAAAAAGUGGACCAAUGUGAAAGCUUAUUAAGGCACAGAGUGACAGUGAUUACUGAUGCUCAGGAUAGUGGACAAAGACAAGUUAGAGACUGAAUAUAAUCAAUGCAUUUUGUGAUCAUUAUAUUUUAGUAUUUUAAUUUAUAUGGAAUAGACCUUAUUAUCAGUUUCAUUACUCUGGGGGAAGUUCAACACUUUCUGCCAAUGUUGAAUUUACCUGUAAAGAAUGUAUUUUUCAAAUUCAAUCAUCAAUAAAAUAUUGCAGUAAUGAAGAGAUGAGGAAUUGGAUCAAAAAGAUGUCUGGAUUUGUGUACUUGUUGUGCAGAGAAACAAUCCUUCAUUUCUUGCCUCUUCUCUAGGAAAGGAAUACCCAUAGAGAAUUUCUCAUAAUGGAAGGACUCUUACUCCUGUGCUUGAUUAGGAUUUCAGUAUAAAUGCACAGCAUGAGAGAGGACCUAGGCCUAAUAACUGUCCACCUAAACAGCUGCAGAUAACUCUGGCUUGUUUUUACAAGUUCUUUGGAGAAAGAUUUUAUAUCUUGCUUAUGUUAUACAGUUAUUUCUUAACGCUGACAGUCAGGAGAGUCUUCUUUGUAUUGUGGGCAAAUCUGAAUUGAUCUCAAUAUAAUAUUAUGAAAAAAAUCUGUGUUGGCAUUGAAAAGUAGGAAAACAUCGUCACCCACAUGCCAAAGGCUGCAGGGGAUUUCUGCAAGAUGAGACCAAAUUGAGCAAAAAAUGGAAGAGCCUGUGAGUUGCCCUAUACAUUAGAAUUGCCUGGAGAGUAACGAAAAGCCCAGAUGUCUGGGCCUCGUUUGCCAGUUGGUUAGUUGCAAUUUUUUUUUCUUUUUUCUUUUUGUCCUUUUAGGUCCGCACCCAUGGCAAUGGAGGUUCCCAGGGAAGGGGUUGAAUCGGAGCUGGAGCUGCCGGCCUCCAUCACAGCCAUAGCAAUGCGGGAUCUGAGCCACAUCUGUGACCUACACCACAGCGCACAGCAAUGUCAGAUCCUUAACCAACUGAGUGAGGCCAGGGAUCGACCCUGUGUUCUCACGGAUGCUAGUCAUAUUCGUUUCUGCUGAGCCACAACAGGGACUGCGGUUGGUUGCAAUUUGUCUGGGAUGAGGUCCAAGCAUUGGUGUUUGAAAUGCCCCAUAGGUAAUUCUGAUUUGCAGCCGGGAUGGGAAUCCAGUGCCCUAAUUGAAGCCUGCUGGUGGGCUUUCAGCUCAAUGCAGAAAGGGUUGGGCUGGAGGGAGGGGCAGCCUGAGGGAAAGAGUGAGGCAGACAUUUGCCAGAGAAGUGCAAUAAGGGCUCGAGUCUUUCUAAGUGGGGAUUCUCUAGUGGAGCCCGAUCUCGAAGCUUCACUCGAUGUGGACAGUAGCACUCCCCCUCCAGCUUUCAGGAACAGAAUUAGAGGAAGCUGUACCUGAAGUGGAAGGCUUGCAGUCACAGCUUCACAAGUCAGCAGAUCCUUCAGGUUCAUGGAGAUGGGAAACCGGGCCUGAUGGGCAGGGAAGUGUGUCAGCCCUGUGAAGGCAGUGGGAGGAACCGGGUAGGGGCCCUAAAAAGCAAAAAAAAAAAAAAAAAAAAAAAAAAAAAAGUAAGAUGCUAAGAUUUGAAAAUCCAGUUUACAGACACUUCCUUAUAAGACCUACCUGCUGUUCCAGCACCCUGCUUUGGCAAAUGGUGGUCAUUAUCCUGGUGCUGGCUUCCUAGAUGUAUGACCUUUAGCUACACAGCAUCCUUCACUCAGAAUGAUCCUGUGCUUGUAUUAAUACUCUGCUGUUACUAUCUUGAAAUUUGUAAUAACUUUGAAGAAGGUGCCUUGCAUUUUCACUUUGAACUGGGUCUAGAAAAUUAUGUACCUAGUCCUUGUUGCCCCUAUUAACUUGGGGGUUUUUGCUGAAAUUGAUAAAGAAGCUCAUUUUUAGCAUCUUACUGCAUUUGUUUCCAGAGGAGAUUUCAGGCCUGUAAAAAAAUUCUCAUCUUUGAGUAUGGAUAAAACUGGAGGAAAAAGAAAACUGUGGAACAGCAAAUUUCAGAUCCAGUGUUGUUUCUGUGGUACAUGGGUUUGAUGCCUAGCCCCAUACAGUGGGGUAAGGAUCUGCCAUUAUUGCAGCUGUGGUGUUAGUUGCAGCUGUGGCUUGGAUUUGAUCCCUGGCCUGGGAACUUCCAUAUGCCACAGGUAUGACUGAAAAAGGAAAAAAAAAAAAAA